UACGAAGGGGGCGAGCGUUGUUCGGAAUUACUGGGCGUAAAGGGCGCGCAGGCGGCUCAGACAGUCAGAUGUGAAAGCCCCGGGCUUAACCUGGGAACUGCAUUUGAUACUACUGAGCUUGAGUACGGGAGAGGAUAGUGGAAUUCCCAGUGUAGAGGUGAAAUUCGUAGAUAUUGGGAAGAACACCAGUGGCGAAGGCGACUCACUGGCCCGAUACUGACGCUGAGGCGCGAAAGCGUGGGGAGCAAACAGG
rnacentral:rRNA from 1 species